rnacentral:tRNA from 1 species
GGCUUUAUAGUCAAAUUAUGAUGUUAGGUUGCAAUUCUAAAGUUGUUUAAAAACUAAAGCCU